rnacentral:snoRNA from 1 species
AACUAUAACAGUCAAUGACGAAAGGCUACAGUUCAGUCAUCCGUUGCAGCAAGGCUUCGGCCAACUCACUCGCUGGGCGCUGUGGAGAACAUCACGGCCGUUUUCACCACUCUUAUAGUGAUGUGUAUACUAUCUGAGGCUG